AUGCACGAUAGGCUCUUGCCCUCAACCACGCUGCACAGAACUGCUCCUUACAACACUAUUUUCAGGCAUGAACAAGCACCAAGGAGGAACAAAUUAAACACACGACCAUUUGCUAAGAGACAAAUGCAAGGAGCCAGAUCCUUCUAUAUCUCGAGUGUUACAGGAACGUAAAGAGAUGACUUGCUGCGAAACUCUACACCUGGGACCACAUUUCUACACCUGGUGAGAGAAAUAAGCUCCAUGAGAAGCGAGCCUGAACAACAAGGAAAUUAUUUUCAUCCAAGUAUCCUUAGUGAUUAAAAAAUAAAAUGAGACUGAAAAGAAUCCA
rnacentral:lncRNA from 1 species